rnacentral:rRNA from 1 species
UGUGAGUAGUGUGAAUCAUCGAAUCUUUGAACGCAUCUUGCGCUGCCAGGCAUUCCUGGCAGCACAUCUGGCUGAGUAUCAAUUUUCCUUCUUCCUUUCCUACCCGGAUCCUUCUGGAUCUGCGGCGGGUCAAAGGAGAGAGUGAGGAUCCCAGACGCGUGCGUCUGCGUUCCUUGAAAUACAGAGACGGCUUCACGGCUGUCGGGACGGUUGCUUACGCGCCUCCCUCAACAAACUCGGAAGAGACUUUUUUUGUGACCACAAAAAAGACUUGCGGAGGAAGUAGGCCUCGGCCUGUCUGCCCUCUCGUCUCUCUGGCGCGUUAGGAAAGCUACACUUUCUCACGUUGGAAGCGGACGAGUGGUGUCGGAUAUUCCACCGCAGGUGUGGACGCAUGUCUUGACCCCAACCUAAAGACCUUUGAUCUCAGCUCAGAUGGGACUACCCGCUGAACUUAAGCAUAUCAAUAAGCGGAGG